rnacentral:rRNA from 1 species
GACGAACGCUGGCGGCGUGCCUAACACAUGCAAGUCGAACGGGGUAAUUACUUCGGUGAUUACUUAGUGGCGAACGGGUGAGUAACGCGUGAGAAACCUGCCUUUCAGUGGGGGACAACAGUUGGAAACGACUGCUAAUACCGCAUAAUGUUAUUUGGGGGCAUCCUCGAAUAACCAAAGCUUUAUGUGCUGAAAGAUGGUCUCGCGUCUGAUUAGCUAGAUGGCGGGGUAACGGCCCACCAUGGCGACGAUCAGUAGCCGGUCUGAGAGGAUGAACGGCCACAUUGGGACUGGGAUACGGCCCAGACUCCUACGGGAGGCAGCAGUGGGGAAUAUUGGGCAAUGGGGGAAACCCUGACCCAGCAACGCCGCGUGAAGGAAGAAGGCCUUCGGGUUGUAAACUUCUUUUACCAGGGACGAAGAACGUGACGGUACCUGGAGAAAAAGCAACGGCUAACUACGUGCCAGCCGCCGCCGUAACAC